rnacentral:rRNA from 1 species
GUAACCUUUUAGGAACCAGCCGCCUAAGGUGGGACAGAUGAUUAGGGUGAAGUCGUAACAAGGUAGCCGUAGGAGAACCUGCGGCUGGAUCACCUCCUUUCUAAGGAAUAUUACGGAA